rnacentral:rRNA from 1 species
AUUGAACGCUGGCGGCAGGCUUAACACAUGCAAGUCGAACGGCAGCGCGGACUUCGGUCUGGCGGCGAGUGGCGAACGGGUGAGUAAUACAUCGGAACGUACCCUGUUGUGGGGGAUAACUAGUCGAAAGAUUAGCUAAUACCGCAUACGACCUGAGGGUGAAAGUGGGGGACCGCAAGGCCUCACGCAGCAGGAGCGGCCGAUGUCUGAUUAGCUAGUUGGUGGGGUAAAGGCCCACCAAGGCGACGAUCAGUAGCUGGUCUGAGAGGACGAUCAGCCACACUGGGACUGAGACACGGCCCAGACUCCUACGGGAGGCAGCAGUGGGGAAUUUUGGACAAUGGGGGCAACCCUGAUCCAGCAAUGCCGCGUGUGUGAAGAAGGCCUUCGGGUUGUAAAGCACUUUUGUCCGGAAAGAAAUCGCGCUGGUUAAUACCUGGCGUGGAUGACGGUACCGGAAGAAUAAGCACCGGCUAACUACGUGCCAGCCGCCGCCGUAA